AUAGACGCGUCAUAUUGAUGAUGUCAUCAGAAAAGGACGCUACUUCAGAAUACAAAACAGAAAAACGUGGAGCGCACGCAAGUUACGUUUAAGUAUUGUUUUCGGGUCGUUCAUCCAAAAAACACAAGCUGUACAGGGUAACAUGGGUAAAAACAAACCAAAAGGCAAGAAGCAACCAAAUGUUUUCCAAGUGGCAGCGAACAAGCACCUAAAGGCCAAAAACAAAGCGAAGCCCAUCAGGACCAAGCUGAAACAUAUCAGUGCUGUGAAGAAUGAGAAGGUAGAAAACCUUAACCAAAUGUUCUCGCAAGUCCAGAAGGACGUCAGCGUUUCCAAACGCGUCGCUGCAGAAGCAAAGAAACCAGCACAGCAGCAGGACACAGAACAUUCGUAGGUUCGGUAAAGAGACGUCUGAUAAGUGCUCCACGGGACACAAACACAAUUCCAUGAAGGAAUAUUGGACGAAGGGGAGACACGUGAGCUAAAAGGAGGGUACUUAUUCCCGGACACCGUGUGCUCCGAGCCCGUGUCGUCAGAAGCCCCCCAGUGGAAGUGGAACUGCUUGAGCCGGUAUACCUCCGAGACGGGCCCACCAGUCAGAACUGCGGGCGGAGAGACGGACAGACGGAAGGACAGACCAAGAGACGGGAACGUUGAAUGUUGAGAGUGACAGCGACAGACGACAACAACGACACGAGGCCUCCUGCUGUGAACCUGAGGUUGGAUUUAACAUCUUCUCGCAUCUUUGAUUUGAUUUGAUUUGAUAUGUCUUUAUUUCAAACUUAUUUAAAACAUAAAAGGAGGGAAAAAAUUAAUCCAUCCAUCGAUCUUCUACACCGCUUGUUCCCACAGGGUUCGCUGGCGUGCUGGAGCCUAUCCCAGCAGUCAUCAGUUAACAACAUAAAAUACAAUAAAUAACACUUUAAAGUGCCAUAU